GCCGAUGUAGCUUAAUGGUAAAGCACUACUUUCGUAAAGUAGUGAUGUGGGUUCGAUUCCCACCUUCGGCU
rfam:Candidatus Daviesbacteria bacterium RIFCSPHIGHO2_01_FTLL_40_11 rifcsphigho2_01_scaffold_3262, whole genome shotgun sequence.